UGAGGAUCGGUGCUCAGAGGAUUUGGAUGUUAGCCACCCCCUCUGGGCCCCCGGGUAAUAAAGUUCGUGCUUCAUUAUCUCCCCGCGUGUGGGUGGAUUUUCCACAACAUUUUGGUGCGGUGGCCGGGAAAUCCCUCAUGCGAGCAGGUAUUUUGCCUCCGGUGAUGGCGACUGGGGGAGUCGGCAGGGGAGCCCUGCCGCAGGGGAGGAGCACGUGCCCUGGUGAUUCCAGGCUUCCCGGGGCAGAGACUCCCGUGCUGCGUCCCCAACGGCUCUAACACCCGGACGGAGGGGAGAGACGAACCACGGACUGUCGGAGGCGCCAAUCAGCCAGGCAGUGAAGACUGGAGGAGGCGACCUGCGUCUUCAAAUACAAAGAUAGCAAUGCAGGCUUCAAGGCACAUGACAAAUCAAGGAAACAUGACACCACCAAAGGAACACAAUAAUUUUCCAGUAACUGACCCCAAAGAAAUGGAGACCUGUGGUCCUGAGUGUUCUCAGCACACACACAACAAGCUGCUGCAUUGUCAUCAGGAAACAGGAAAGUAAAACACAGACACUUGCAGAGACGCGCACACACAGAUCUGAUCGUGCCGUUCGCCUGCUUAGUCUCGAAAGCACUCACUGGCUUCCCAUUGCUUGUAAAGCCCAAGUUUCUAACCGUGUGAUCUGAGGCCCGCUCCACAUGGGCCCAGAGUACUCUUCUCAGCUCAUCCCCCAUGCUUCUCACAUCGGGAAAAUGGAGACAACUGUACUGAACAAC